GUAGUCAUAUGCUUGUCUCAAAGAUUAAGCCAUGCAUGUCUAAGUAUAAGCAAUUAUACAGCGAAACUGCGAAUGGCUCAUUAUAUAAGUUAUCGUUUAUUUGAUAGUACCUUACUACUUGGAUAACCGCGGUAAUUCUAGAGCUAAUACAUGCUAAAAAUCCCGACUUCGGAAGGGAUGUAUUUAUUAGAUUAAAAACCAAUGCCCUUCGGGGCUCACUGGUGAUUCAUAAUAACUUCUCGAAUCGCAUGGCCUUGCGCCGGCGAUGGUUCAUUCAAAUUUCUUCCCUAUCAACUUUCGAUGCUAGAGUAGUGUUCUAGCAUGGUUACAACGGGUAACGGAGGGUUAGGGCUCGACCCCGGAGAAGGAGCCUGAGAAACGGCUACUACAUCCAAGGAAGGCAGCAGGCGCGCAAAUUACCCAAUCCCGACACGGGGAGGUAGUGACGAUAAAUACUGAUACAGGGCUCUUUUGGGUCUUGUAAUUGGAAUGAGUACAAUUUAAAUCCCUUAACGAGGAACAAUUGGAGGGCAAGUCUGGUG
rnacentral:rRNA from 1 species